rnacentral:rRNA from 1 species
GAUGAACGCUGGCGGCGUGCUUAACACAUGCAAGUCGAACGGAAAGGCCAGUUUUUGCUCUGGUACUCGAGUGGCGAACGGGUGAGAAGCACGUGGGUCAUCUGCCCUGUACUUCGGGAUAAGCGUGGUAAACUGGGUCUACUACCGGAUAUGACAGCUUGUUGGAUAUUGUUGUGGAAAGCUUUUGCGGUAUGGGUUUAGCUCGCGGCCUAUCAGCUUGUUGGUGGGGGAAUGGCCUACCAAGGCGUCGCCGGGUAGGCGGCCUGAGGGGGUGUACGGCGACAUGGCGACUAAGAUAAGGCCCAGCAGCAUACGGGAGGCAGGAGUGGGGAAUAUUGCACAAUGGGAGCAAGCCUGAUGCGGCGAUGCCGCGUGGGGGAUGAAGGCCUUCGGGUUAUAAACUGCUUUCGCUAGGGACGAAGCGGUAGUGACGGUACCUGGAGAAGAAGCACCGGCUAACUACGUG